rnacentral:rRNA from 1 species
UGGGGAAUAUUGGACAAUGGGCGAAAGCCUGAUCCAGCCAUGCCGCGUGUGUGAAGAAGGUCUUCGGAUUGUAAAGCACUUUAAGUUGGGAGGAAGGGCAGUAAGCGAAUACCUUGCUGUUUUGACGUUACCGACAGAAUAAGCACCGGCUAACUCUGUGCCAGCAGCCGCGGUAAUACAGAGGGUGCGAGCGUUAAUCGGAAUUACUGGGCGUAAAGCGCGCGUAGGUGGUUCGUUAAGUUGAAUGUGAAAGCCCCGGGCUCAACCUGGGAACUGCAUCCAAAACUGGCGGGCUAGAGUAGGGCAGAGGGUGGUGGAAUUUCCUGUGUAGCGGUGAAAUGCGUAGGUAUAGGAAGGAACACCAGUGGCGAAGGCGACCACCUGGGCUCAUACUGACACUGAGGUGCGAAAGCGUGGGGAGCAAACAGG